rnacentral:misc_RNA from 1 species
GAAACGCGAUAGGUAAUGUGAAUUGCAGAAUUCCGUGAAUCAUCGAAUCUUUGAACGCACAUUGCGCCUUCUGGUAUUCCGGUAGGCAUGUCUGUUUGAGCGUCAGCAAACACCCUCAGCUUGAGUAUUUAUUUAUUCGAUGCUGGUCUUGGGCAGCGGAUGCCGGUGGUUGAUUUAUCUCCACCUGCGCCCUCCCUAAACUUGCUGCACGACCGCAAGCCCCUUCUAGCCAGGUCAAUGGAGUGGUGUUACAAUCUUCCAAAAAGCCUGAUGGAUAACCGCUUGGUGGCGUUAAACCCAAAAGUCUCCUCACGGAGAUCGAAGUUUUGACCUCAGAUCAGACAAGGAUACCCGCUGAACUUAA